rnacentral:tRNA from 1 species
UAGCUCAGUUGGUAGAGCAUGGCGCUUGUAAUGCCAGAGUAGUGGGUUCAAUUCCCAG